AGGGAUGAAGGCCUUCGGGUUGUAAACCUCUUUCAGUAGGGAAGAAGCGACUGGGUUCUCUCAGACGUGACGGUACCUGCAGAAGAAGCGCCGGCUAACUACGUGCCAGCAGCCGCGGUAAUACGUAGGGCGCAAGCGUUGUCCGGAAUUAUUGGGCGUAAAGAGCUCGUAGGCGGUUUGUCGCGUCUGGUGUGAAAACUCAAGGCUCAACCUUGAGCUUGCAUCGGGUACGGGCAGACUAGAGUGUGGUAGGGGUGACUGGAAUUCCUGGUGUAGCGGUGGAAUGCGCAGAUAUCAGGAGGAANNNNNAUGGCGAAGGCAGGUCACNNNNNNNNNUACUGACGCUGAGGAGCGAAAGCAUGGGGAGCGAACAGGAUUAGAUACCCUGGUAGUCCAUGCCGUAAACGUUGGGCACUAGGUGUGGGGCUCAUUCCACGAGUUCCGCGCCGCAGCUAACGCAUUAAGUGCCCCGCCUGGGGAGUACGGCCGCAAGGCUAAAACUCAAAGGAAUUGACGGGGGCCCGCACAAGCGGCGGAGCAUGCGGAUUAAUUCGAUGCAACGCGAAGAACCUUACCAAGGCUUGACAUACACCGGAAUCGGCCAGAGAUGGUCGCGUCUUCGGACUGGUGUACAGGUGGUGCAUGGUUGUCGUCAGCUCGUGUCGUGAGAUGUUGGGUUAAGUCCCGCAACGAGCGCAACCCUCGUCCUAUGUUGCCAGCACGUCAUGGUGGGGACUCAUAGGAGACUGCCGGGGUCAACUCGGAGGAAGGCGGNGACGACG
rnacentral:rRNA from 1 species